rnacentral:rRNA from 1 species
GAUGAACGCUGGCGGCGUGCUUAACACAUGCAAGUCGAACGAUGAAGCCCAGCUUGCUGGGUGGAGUAGUGGCGAACGGGUGAGUAACACGUGAGUAACCUGCCCUUAACUCUGGGAUAAGCCUGGGAAACUGGGUCUAAUACAGGAUAGGAGCGUCCACCGCAUGGUGGGUGUUGGAAUGAUUUAUCGGUUUUGGAUGGACUCGCGGCUUAUCAGCUUGUUGGGGAGGUAAUGGCUCACCAAGGCGACGGCGGGUAGCCGGCCUGAGAGGGUGACCGGCCACACUGGUACUGCGAGACGGCCCAGACGCCUACGGGAGGCAGCGGGGGGGAGUAUUGCACAAUGGGCGCGAGUCAGAUGCAGCGACGCCGCGUGCGGAAUGACCGCCUUCGGGUGAUAAACCUCUUUGAGUAGGGAAGAAGCGAUAGUGACGGUACCUGCAGAAGAAGCACCGGCUAACUACGUG